GACGAACGCUGGCGGCGUGCUUAACACAUGCAAGUCGAACGGAAAGGCCCUGCUUUUGUGGGGUGCUCGAGUGGCGAACGGGUGAGUAACACGUGAGUAACCUGCCCUUCACUUUGGGAUAACUUCAGGAAACUGGGGCUAAUACCGGAUAGGAGCUCCUGCUGCAUGGUGGGGGUUGGAACGUUUCGGCUGUUGGGGAUGGACUCGCGGGUUAUCAGCUUGUUGGUGGGGUAGUGGCUUACCAAGGCUGUGACGGGUAGCCGGCCUGAGAGGGUGACCGGCCACAUUGGGACUGAGCUACGGCCCAGACUCCUACGGGAGGCAGCAGUGGGGAAUAUUGCACAAUGGGCGGAGGCCUGAUGCAGCAACGCCGCGUGCUGUAUGACGGCCUUCGGGUUGUAAACCGCUUUCGCCUGUGACGAAGCGUGAGUGACGGUAAUGGGUAAAGAAGCCCCGGCUAACUACGUG
rnacentral:rRNA from 1 species